GGUCCCGUAGCUCAACUGGAUAGAGCAACGCACUCCUAACGCGUAGGUUGGAGGUUCAAUUCCUCUCGGGGCCACCA
rnacentral:tRNA from 2 species